UACGAAGGGGGCUAGCGUUGCUCGGAAUGACUGGGCGUAAAGGGCGCGUAGGCGGAUGGCACAGUCAGAUGUGAAAUUCCCGGGCUUAACCUGGGGGCUGCAUUUGAUACGUGUUGUCUAGAGUGAGGAAGAGGGUUGUGGAAUUCCCAGUGUAGAGGUGAAAUUCGUGGAUAUUGGGAAGAACACCGGUGGCGAAGGCGGCAACCUGGUCCUUGACUGACGCUGAGGCGCGAAAGCGUGGGGAGCAAACAGG
rnacentral:rRNA from 1 species